UACGAAGGGUGCAAGCGUUGUCCGGAAUUAUUGGGCGUAAAGAGCGCGUAGGCGGUCCGAUAAGUCGGCUGUGAAAGUCAAGGGCUCAACCCUUGAAAGCCGGCCGAUACUGUCGGACUAGAGUCCGGAAGAGGCGAGUGGAAUUCCCGGUGUAGCGGUGAAAUGCGCAGAUAUCGGGAGGAACACCAAUGGCGAAGGCAGCUCGCUGGGACGGUACUGACGCUGAGACGCGAAAGCGUGGGGAGCAAACAGG
rnacentral:rRNA from 1 species